UACGAAGGGGGCUAGCGUUGCUCGGAAUCACUGGGCGUAAAGCGCACGUAAGCGGCUUUUUAAGUCAGGGGUGAAAUCCUGGAGCUCAACUCCAGAACUGCCUUUGAUACUGAGAAGCUUGAGUCCGGGAGAGGUGAGUGGAACUGCGAGUGUAGAGGUGAAAUUCGUAGAUAUUCGCAAGAACACCAGUGGCGAAGGCGGCUCACUGGCCCGGUACUGACGCUGAGGUGCGAAAGCGUGGGUAGCAAACAGG
rnacentral:rRNA from 1 species